UACGUAGGGUGCGAGCGUUAAUCGGAAUUACUGGGCGUAAAGCGUGCGCAGGCGGUCCUGCAAGUCAGGCGUGAAAUCCCCGGGCUUAACCUGGGAAUGGCACUUGAAACUACGGGACUGGAGUAUGGCAGAGGGAGGUGGAAUUCCACGUGUAGCGGUGAAAUGCGUAGAGAUGUGGAGGAACACCGAUGGCGAAGGCAGCCUCCUGGGCCAAUACUGACGCUCAUGCACGAAAGCGUGGGGAGCAAACAGG
rnacentral:rRNA from 1 species